GCGGACGGGUGAGUAACGCGUAGGAAUCUGCCUAGUAGUGGGGGAUAACUUGUGGAAACGCAAGCUAAUACCGCAUACGCCCUACGGGGGAAAGAACGCCUCUUCUUGAAAGCUUUCACUAUUAGAUGAGCCUGCGUUGGAUUAGCUAGUUGGUAGGGUAAGAGCCUACCAAGGCUACGAUCCAUAGCUGGUCUGAGAGGAUGAUCAGCCACACUGGGACUGAGACACGGCCCAGACUCC
rnacentral:rRNA from 1 species